rnacentral:lncRNA from 1 species
UUAACUUUGAUUCAAUUGAAGUGUCAUAUCAAAUUCAUAAUGCAACUUGAACACAUGGCAUCCCAAUGCUGAUGUGUCAAAAAAAUAAAUCAUUUUCACUCACUUUUCAUCAUUUUAAACUUUCAAAAGAACAAAAUAGUAGUCAUCUAUAUAAUAAUACACAACCAUUUUUGAAUCUAUUCCCGCUUAACAUUUGAGAAACCACAACAAAGGUCCAGAUUUCAUCUUACUUAAUCUAAUGGUCAGAUCUCAUUACAGACAAAAAAAAAACCGCCCAAAUCAGACUAAGCCUCCUUCCCGUGUACUCUACUGUCUCCUUCCCUUCAAAAUUCCCCCAAAUCAAAAUCCUCACACUCGACUAUCUCCUUCCCUUCAAAACCCCCCAAAUCAAAAUUAGCCUUCUUCCAAAAACUAUUCCUACUCCCGUUCUCCCGUUCUCUUCCAACGCUACUCGGUGCUCAAGCGACGGCGCCGGCGAUGGCAAUCGGAGGUUGACGGCGCCGAUGGCACACAGUAAUGGUUCAGUUAAAAUUUAAAUUUUAUGCCCUGUAAAUUAAUUGUUCAAUUCGUGAACGGCGCCGACUGUUGAUUGCUUCAUUUUUUGGUUUCUUUUGAAUACAGAAACUUCAGUGGGUGAUGUUCAAUUGGUUUCUUUUGAAUACAGAAACUUUGUGAACGGCGCCGACUGUUCAAUUCGUUAACUCAUCUUCUCUCUCUCCUCUCACAAACCCACCUUCCAAAAGACUCUCACUCUGCAUCCCCAAAGUUUCUGCCAAGCAGGCUGCUGCUACUACCGGAGCUGUAGAGGACUCGCCUGACAAUUUUACAUUGUAGGGUGUGUUUUCUUUCCCCUUUAUUCUCUUUGUUGGCAUGUUGGGAGUUCCAUUUUUAGUGAUGGUUAAUUUGUUGUGGCCCAUUUGGUUGUAUUGGUUCCUUCUAUCAAAGAAAUUAAAGACCAUUUUUAAAUCCCAUUUUGUAGUGCAGUUUCUUUUAUGGACAAAGGCAUAGAAUUUGUUGGGUUUUAUAUAUUUGAAGUCAGCAUUGAGUGCGUUGAGUGAUUAGGAGUUUGUCUCCCAAAUUAAGUGUUCCUCUUGAAGCUAUAGUUAAAUCUCUUGGUAUUGAAUUAAAUUUGAAUGUGACUGAUGGUAAUGAUAUAGUUAAGACUUCGGUAAAAAGUUUGAUGUCUAAAUGGGAAAUCAUUGAGUAUCUUGAGGUAAAAUAUAUUAUUGAGUUUCUUGAGGUAAAACAUGUUAUCUUGAGGUAAAUCAUUGAGUAUCUGUG